CUCCUUAAUGCCUUGCCAGCUGGAAGGAAAAGAGCCUCUUGCAUUGCCCACAAAGGAAGCAGAGAUUGAGGGGAGAAGAACUGGAGAAAUUAAAAAAGUGGAAAGAGACAGCAACACAAAUAAAGAGGUUGAGUACCAGUAGAAACCUCAUAUUUACCUGGAAGAUUACUUUUAGGAAGCUUGAAGAAUUCUCUCUUCCAACUUGGUUGGAUUUCCUGUAAGAUUUUAAAUGAAGAAAGUCUUCUACUGCUGUAUAAAGAAAAAAAAAAGAAGAAGAAAGGGAUGGAUCUCACUAUGUUGCCAAGGCUGGCUCGAGAACUCCUGGGCUCAACCAAUCCUCCUGCCUCAGCCUCCCAAAUAGCUGGGACUACAGGUGUGUGCCGCCACUCUCCCCUUUUUAUUGGAAGAGAGUUCAUAGAGGACUGAGCACCUAUUUAGUAUAUGUUUCUAGGUUUGGUUACAAUUUGUUAAGAAAAGUAGAUUUGCAAACUCACUACUUUUGAAAUAUUAAAAAUACAUGCCAUGAAUUUCUACUUCAGCACAGAUUUGGACAACCACCUUAUGUAUGGAAAGAAAAUUUACUGAAUUUAGUGCUAGGCAUAGAUGAGAAUUUCUACUUGAAAAAAGCCCUUAAAACUUUUCCUGCUGUACUGUUCAAUUAUUAAUAUAUUUAAUGCACAGACGCAGUUCACAAUGUGGACUGAUGUGAACUUGUGUUGCAUUGGCUUUAUAAAUUAGGACAGUUGAUUUUACUUAUCCUCCUGAUUUGCCCAGAUAUGAUCUCUAUAAAAAAUCACAGAAAUUUUUGUAAAAUAAUCUUGCAGUUCUUGUUUUUGCUCUUUUUCUUAUUUUUUUCUCAACAAAAAAUUAUUUCUGAUGUUCUAUUUUCACUUAAAUGAAAACAUUCCAUGGAAGAAGUACAAAGAAGUAAUGCUUUGAAAUGACAGUCCCUGAAUUUUCAAGAAAGCCAGAUUCUUCCACAUCCAUAGUCUUCCUUUGUCCUGUUAAUAAUCCUCAUGAUGAGAGGAAAGUUACUGCCUAGUGUUUUAUGACUGGGAGAAUGGAGUAACAAGAAUCUAAGUGGUCAGAAGUAGAGAUUGUCAAGAAUACAGGCUCUCAGGUUUUGGUGUCUGUGCUCCAUCAGCCAAACUUUGCCCUUUUCUAGAAAAGACCCAAGUGGUGAAGUCACUAAUUUUGUCAUUGUUAUUAUGUACUGGAGAAAAAUUAAAUGAUCCACCUCUUUAUCAUAUACUGAACUUUCAUGAUAAGUAACACAUGUGGAGUAACCAAGGCUUAGCCAACUAGGGAUUAAUGUUAGAAAAUGAAUUUUGCUUUCUCUAUACUUGUUUAGAAAUAGCAAAAGUUCUGUAAGGGGAUGGCUAGGGGCCAAUGGGAGAGGUGAAGGACCUUUAUCACAGUAUUUGUUUGGUCCCCAUCAAAGUUCCUGGGUGCCAUGGAAAAGUGUUUUUCUUUUCUGGACCCUUUACUUCAUCUGCAAAAUGGUGAGGCAGUUAAACUCUCUGGCUUGCUUUUAUCUUACAGGCAUUCAGUGAGGUAUAUAACCUGCAAUAUUUCUUAAAAGUUGUAUAGGUUUUGCUGACCUGAAUUCUUUCAUGUUCUUCUUCAUCCUACAUGUGUAACUAUUCCAUGUUAUCGGUCCCCACGAUGAAAGAUAAUGGAAAAACAAUGCCUGUCUUUGUCUGACUCAAAAAGCAUGCUGGUAAUUUGCAUAUGAGAUAUAUUUUAUUAAGAUGUUUUUAUAUUUGAAAGCUAUGUCAUCUCGGUAUUGUCUAAGAAAUACAGUUCACGAUUUAUGGACUUUUGUCUCUUGUGUGUGUGUUAAUCAGUCUUAAAAUGGUAGAAACAUGCUGUCCUGC
rnacentral:lncRNA from 1 species